rnacentral:rRNA from 1 species
GCGUAGGGUGCAAGCGUUAAUCGGAAUUACUGGGCGUAAAGCGUGCGCAGGCGGUUUUGUAAGACAGAGGUGAAAUCCCCGGGCUUAACCUGGGAAUGGCGUUUUGAACUGGCAGUCUAGAGUGCGUCAGAGGGGGGUGGAAUUCCACGUGUAGCAGUGAAAUGCGUAGAGAUGUGGAGGAACACCGAUGGCGAAGGCAGCCCCCUGGGACAUGACUGACGCUCAGGUACGAAAGCGUGGGGAGCAAACAG